rnacentral:ncRNA from 2 species
UCAAACGUGGUUCGUGAACCUCCCACUUAAAAAAACUAAGGAGAA